UAAAACACCUUUUUCCAACAAAAAAUAUUAAAUAAAAAAGAAAAGAAAAGAAAGAAUCACCCUCUCGACUCUCGAGAACUCUCUCCAACCCAACGAUUUCGGAAACUCUCCCUCUCUCACUUCACUUCACUUCACACAGUUACAGAGAGAUUCCACCGCCGCAGAUCGGAAAUGUCUCCGCCGGAAUCACAACGCAAUCCAAUUCCCUUCCUCCAUGAACAAUCCUGAUACCUCUUAUCACUACUACUCCAUUUCGUCCGUUUCGUUGCUUCGCUCUCUGAUUCUCCUCUCUCCGUUAACAGUAACGGACUCCUAACUCCUUCCGUUACAACAAUUUUCGCCAUCUCUAGGUUUUUCUCAUUUCACUUCAACGAUUCAACUCCAUCUAACUCCGAAAACGCAAUUCGAUUUUUUCAAUUACUGAAGAAGUAAGAGAUUCGAAACGACUUGCAAUUUGUGAUAAAGUUCCCGAAAAUUUCGUCAAGGUGGGAAGACUACUCAACAAGUUGUAAGAAGGAACUUUAAAUUUAAUUUUAAAGGUUGUACCUAGAGAGGAACUUCAUCUUGUUGGCAUAAGCUUGAUGCUUAUAACAUCCAAAUAUGAGGAGACAUGGGCACUAAAGGUAUAUCGUGUGGAUAUCAGGCAGGCGGCAUAGUUUAGUGCCGUUCGAUGGGUUGUGAUGGCUAUCAUGAAUUACCUUGCUGGCUUUUGGUCAGAUAUGAUGAUACAAAGUGGUACAAGUGUGACUUUGACUCAUAAGAUUAUGCAGGUUUCUGAUUUCUGAUUACAUCACCCUGUGUGGCAGUUGGUAAAAGAUAAAUCUGGUAGCUAUAUGUUUGGUUUAGAAUUUGCUAGUAUAGGAACUAAAUUGGUGAGCUUCUAUGUUGGACAUUUGAACGAAACUAUUUGAAUAUAAUUGGCCAAGCUUUACUUUGGUGGUAUUAUAAACGCUGGCGAAACCCUUCAGUGGAAUUUUAUGGAACUUGGGCUAAUACAUACAACACAUUGGAAUUGACUAUUAUUAGAUUAUAUGGAAUUUUUACUAUUGGUAGUGGCAUGUAUGACUAUCGGUAAAAUAGGAUGAAAUAUGUGCAAAAUUUGGUAAGAGGUUAGAAAAUACUUGUCUUUGUACCUAUAGAUUAAGAUUCCUUACAUUGAAUACUGUCUUGAUUUUUUGUUUUAGGAAUGGCAAAUACUGCUGGAACAGUUGCUUCUAUUAUUGGAAUAGUCGGAGCUGGCUUUUUUGUUGAGCUAUUUGGUUCAUUCCGAGGAUUUUUGUUGCUUACAUCACUCUUAUAUUUUCUUGCUGCCCUUUUCUACUGCCAAUUCUCUACAGGAGAAAGAGUAAAUUUUGAUGAUCCUGAUUGGUCAAGGAACUUACAGCAGUGUUUGUAGAGCUCGCGAUCUUGAAACUAACAAAAUUGUUGCUUUGAAGGAAUAAUUACUUCAAAGCUUUCUGGUAGCUUGUACCUUAUUUUCGAAUAUAUGGAACCUGAUCUUACUGGCCUUUCAACAAUGUCUGGCAAGAAGUUUACUCAUCACAGGUACAUUCUUAUGUUUAUGUCAAAAACAUUGGUUUCUCCUUUUGUAUUUGAUUUAAGGAAUCAAAGCCAUUGUAUCUGUUGGAUGGAAACUUUUCAGCAUUUUAAAUUGAAUAUUUCCUCUAGGAUUAUAGUGAAUUGUAAUGCAGCCAAUGAACUUAAUUUGUUUAUCAUGCAGCCAUUUAACUUGUUAUUUGAAGCAGACACCAAAUUUGUUUUAAGCAAAUAUGAUGGUUAGAAAGUAUGCUUAUAGCCUCAGUUUCGAUUUUUUUAAUAGACGAUAAAUAAUUGAUAAUUAGCUUGGAUUUUGGGCAUGGAUUCAUAA